rnacentral:rRNA from 1 species
UACGAAGGGUGCAAGCGUUACUCGGAAUUACUGGGCGUAAAGCGUAUGCAGGCGGACUUUUAAGUCGGGGGUGAAAUCCCGAGGCUCAACCUCGGAACUGCCUUCGAUACUGGAAGUCUUGAGUCCGGGAGAGGUGAGUGGAACUCCGAGUGUAGAGGUGAAAUUCGUAGAUAUUCGGAAGAACACCAGUGGCGAAGGCGGCUCACUGGCCCGGUACUGACGCUGAGAUACGAAAGCGUGGGGAGCAAACAGG